AGACCGAACCCAAGUGAUCUUGCCAUGGCCAAGUGCUAUUUAAUAAGACUGAACGGGUGUCCGUUGCAAGGGACUCCGAAGAGCUGUGGCAAGGGGUGAAAAGCCAAUCUAACCUGGAGAUAGCUGGUCUUCUGCGAAACCCGUUUUAGCGGGUCGCCCAUUUAUUGAAAUUAAAUUCGUUACUAGACGGUACGGCACUGGAAGCCACGCAGCUUUUGCUGCAUAAUCGGGGGGCUGUCAUGGCUCUAUCGAUGGCUUCUAACCCCGGAAAUGUAUAGUAUACAAUGAUGGGCAAUCAGACGUAUCGUGAUAAGGCGAUUCGUCAAAAGGGCAACAGCCCAGAACAGGUGUGAAGGUCCCUAACAAGCUACUGAGUGAACACAAGGCAGUCCUCUCCAGUGUCUCUCCACAAAGUGGGCUUGGAAGCAGCCACCUUUUAGCGAUAGCGUAACAGCUCAG
rnacentral:rRNA from 1 species